rnacentral:rRNA from 1 species
GACGGAGGGCGCAAGCGUUGUUCGGAAUUACUGGGCGUAAAGCGCGCGCAGGCGGGAAGGUAAGUCUGGAGUGAAAUUCCGGGGCUCAACUCCGGAGCUGCUUUGGAUACUGUCUUUCUAGGGACCGGUAGAGGCCGGUGGAAUUCCCGGUGUAGCGGUGGAAUGCGCAGAUAUCAGGAGGAACACCAAUAGCGAAGGCAGCUCGCUGGGACGUUACUGACACUGAGGCGCGAAAGCGUGGGGAGCGAACAGG